GAUGAAGAACGUAGCGAAAUGCGAUAAGUAGUGUGAAUUGCAGAAUUCAGUGAAUCAUCGAAUCUUUGAACGCACAUUGCGCCCCAUGGCAUUCCGUGGGGCAUACCUGUUCGAGCGUCAUUUCAACCUUCGGGCGGUCCUUUGGUCCGUCUGGAUUUGGGUGUCGUCUAAUGGCGUGCCUUGAAAGAAUUGGCGGUGUAGGUGCCGGCUUCGAGCGUAGCAGAUGCGAUUCGCUUUGGAAGCUGGCGUGCUCACCUUGCCAGAAAAGUCUCUGAAGAGCUGACCUCGGAUCAGGUAGGGAUACCCGCUGAACUUAAGCAUAUCAAUAAGCGGAGGA
rnacentral:misc_RNA from 1 species